rnacentral:tRNA from 1 species
GGUCAGCGUGGUUGUGGUUGCAUGCGCUGCACGGUCUUGAAAACCGUCGUGGCAGCGAUGUCACCGUGGGUUCAAAUCCCACACCCACCG